rnacentral:rRNA from 1 species
GCAAGUCGAGCGAAUGGAUUAAGAGCUUGCUCUUAUGAAGUUAGCGGCGGACGGGUGAGUAACACGUGGGUAACCUGCCCAUAAGACUGGGAUAACUCCGGGAAACCGGGGCUAAUACCGGAUAACAUUUUGAACCGCAUGGUUCGAAAUUGAAAGGCGGCUUCGGCUGUCACUUAUGGAUGGACCCGCGUCGCAUUAGCUAGUUGGUGAGGUAACGGCUCACCAAGGCAACGAUGCGUAGCCGACCUGAGAGGGUGAUCGGCCACACUGGGACUGAGACACGGCCCAGACUCCUACGGGAGGCAGCAGUAGGGAAUCUUCCGCAAUGGACGAAAGUCUGACGGAGCAACGCCGCGUGAGUGAUGAAGGCUUUCGGGUCGUAAAACUCUGUUGUUAGGGAAGAACAAGUGCUAGUUGAAUAAGCUGGCACCUUGACGGUACCUAACCAGAAAGCCACGGCUAACUACGUGCCAGCAGCCGCGGUAAUACGUAGGUGGCAAGCGUUAUCCGGAAUUAUUGGGCGUAAAGCGCGCGCAGGUGGUUUCUUAAGUCUGAUGUGAAAGCCCACGGCUCAACCGUGGAGGGUCAUUGGAAACUGGGAGACUUGAGUGCAGAAGAGGAGAGUGGAAUUCCAUGUGUAGCGGUGAAAUGCGUAGAGAUAUGGGAGGAACACCAGUGGCGAACGCGACUUUCUGGUCUGUAACUGACACUGACGCGCGAAAGCGUGGGGAGCAAACACGAUUAGAUACCCUGGUAGUCCACGCCGUAACGAUGAGUGCUAAGUGUUAGAGGGUUUCCGCCCUUUAGUGCUGAA